CCCCCCCCCCCCCAGCACCAAGAGCUUGAUGAUUUUACUACCUGAACAAUCUUGAGGUAUUGAAAUUGGCACUUCUGGUCAUCUAACGUUGCUCCAACAUCACAGAGCCCAUUAAAUAUGCUAUUUCUUCGUCUGUAUGUAGAUUCACCCACAAAGCAGCAGUGUAUCAAUCAUGAUUUCGGGAGACCGUAACCAAAGCCAGGCUGUCAAUGUACACCUUAUGCAUGAGUUGCACCUGAUAAUAUAUUUAAGGUCUUAAAAGUUUGUAUUAUAUUAUGUAAUGUCAAUUGUUUUUAGGAAAUAAUUGCCAAAUUCAGCCCUAGUUACCUACUGAAAGAUUUUUAUGUUUACUGA